rnacentral:rRNA from 1 species
ACGGCUCAGUAACACGUGGACAAUCUAACCUAUGGAAGAGGAUAACCCCGGGAAACUGGGGAUAAUACUCUAUAGACUAUGGAAGCUGGAAUGCUCUGUAGUCGAAAGGUCCGCCGCCAUAGGAUGGGUCUGCGGCCGAUUAGGUUGUUGUUGGGGUAACGGCCCAACAAGCCUGUAAUCGGUACGGGUUGUGGGAGCAAGAGCCCGGAGAUGGAUUCUGAGACACGAAUCCAGGCCCUACGGGGCGCAGCAGGCGCGAAAACUUUGCAAUGCGGGAAACCGUGACAGGGGAACUCCGAGUGCCCGUAAAAUCGGGCUGUCCAUCGGUUUAAAUAACCGGUGAAGAAAGGGCCGGGCAAGACCGGUGCCAGCCGCCGCGGUAAUACCGGCGGCUCGAGUGGUGGCCACUAUUACUGGGCUUAAAGCGUUCGUAGCUGGUUUGUUAAGUCCCUGGGGAAAUCUUCCGGCUUAACCGGAAGGCGUCUCAGGGAUACUGGCAGACUAGGGACCGGGAGAGGUGAGAGGUACUCCAGGGGUAGGAGUGAAAUCCUGUAAUCCUUGGGGGACCACCUGUGGCGAAGGCGCCUCACCAGAACGGCUCCGACAGUGAGGGACGAAAGCUGGGGGAGCAAACCGGAUUAGAUACCCGGGUAGUCCCAGCUGUAAACGAUGCGCGUUAGGUGUAUCAGUGACCACGAGUCACUGAGGUGCCGAAGAGAAAUCGUGAAACGUACCGCCUGGGAAGUACGGUCGCAAGGCUGAAACUUAAAGGAAUUGGCGGGGGAGCAC